rnacentral:rRNA from 1 species
UAAACAGCAGGAGUAACUAUGACUCUUUUAAGGUAGCCAAAUGCCUCGUCAUAUAACUAAUGACGUGCAUGAAUUGGUUUUCGAGGUUCCUACUGUCCCUAUCUACCAUCUAGCGAAACCGCAGCCAAGGGAACGGACUUGGCCUAGUCAGCGGGGAAAGAAGACCCUGUUGAGCUUUACUCUAAUCCGACUGUGUGAAAAGACAUGGAA